GCUCUCGAGGUUGGCAAGUCGUGGCUUGGACCAUCGCACUUCUAUCUUCGCCGACGACGUGGUCACUUUUCUACGUCCUGCGUGGAAGGAAGUGGUGGGGUGCUCGACGAUUCUAUCGGAUUUUGGUGCUGCCUCGGGACUUCGUACUAAUCUCGCCAAGAGUUCCGCCCAUCUCAUCCGCUGCUCUGAUGUACAGAGCCAGCUGGUUGGCGAUUUGCUGCAAUGUGAGGUCCGGGGAUUUCCGUGCGCUUACUUGGGGCUUCCUUUAGGCCUGAGAAAGCAGACGACGGGCCAGCUGAGAUCGUUGGUGGACAAGGUGGAUGGUCGUCUGGCUUCAUGGAAGGCCCCUCUCCUCUCCAAGGGAGCACGGCUGGUGCUGGUCAAGUCCACCCUGACUGCGAUGCUGGUUUACUCGAUGAUGUCCCUCGACCUCCCGGAUAAGAUCAUAAAAGGGGUGGAGAAGAUCUGUCGUGGUUUCCUUUGGCGCGGAUAGAAGGACGCUAAAGGGGGGCAUUGUAUGGUGGCUUGGGAUGUGGUGUGUUCACCGAAGCCUUUUGGUGGACUCGGAAUCCCUAACCUUCACAUGCUCAACGAGGCCUUAAGGGUCUGUUGGAGGUGGCUUGAGAGGGUGGACGACUCCAAACCGUGGGUCGGCUUCAUGGUUGAGACGUCCAAAGAGGUUGAUGUUAUCUUUGAGGCGGCCACUUCCUCUCUGGUGGGCGAUGGCCGGAGGACUCUCUUCUGGACCGAUCGUUGGCUUCAUGGUGUCCGUCUUCGUGAUGAGUUCCCGAUUCUCGUGAGCCAUGUUCGUCCCAGGUUCUUGCGCACACGCACUGUGCGUGAGGCUCUGCAUGGGGCGUGGACUGGUGACGUGGGUCCGGACCUGGGGGAAGCCGCCCUUCGGGAGUUCUUCACUCUCUGGGACUAGCUUCGUGGGGUCCAACUGGAGGAGGGGAGGGCCGACUCUCUUCUCUGGAAUUGGUCUCGUGGUGGAAGCUACUCGGCGAAGACUGCUUACGCGAACUUCUUCGCUGGCCGCAUGGUUGAUCCGAUGGCGGAUGAGAUCUGGGGUUCACGGGCCCCAGAGAGGUGUCGUUUCUUCGCCUGGCUCGCAGUCCAGAAUAGAUGCUGGACGGUGGAUCGGCUUGUGAGACGUGGACUUCCCCAUCCCGACAAGUGCCCCCUAUGCGAUUAGGAGAGGGAAACCAUUUCCCAUCUUCUCUUGGGGUGUGGCUUUGCGCGGCAGGUUUGGGUGCGCUUGUGGACGGCUUGGGGACACGCGGAGUGGACUCCGAGCGCGGAUGCUACUCUGCGGGAAUGGUGGUGUUCUCUUCCCUUUCCGCGGCAAGCCUAGAGGGACUUCCGGACGGGGAUCAUACUUGUCCUUUGGACCAUUUGGAACCAUCGGAAUGAUGUGGUCUUGAAUGGAGCGUCGCCGUCCUUGUAGCUUGUCGUGCUUCGCCUCCAGGAGGAGCUUGGCCGGUGGGCGCACGCAUGACUCUUUAGGGAUAGGGUGUCGUGUCCGGCCUUGAUGGCGAGUGGUUGGAUAGGUAGCACGUAGUUCUUUUUCUCUUCUUGCCACUUGGUGGCGUUGUACUAGUCUUCUGACUCUUCUUUUUUAAUCGAUGAUGCACCCGCUGGGAGGCAUUCUUGGAAAAAAACAAAAAAAAACAAGUGUCCUAAAUGUUUAUGUAUUUUCUAUAAAAAAAUAAAAUUUAAAAUUUAUGAUGAUUUAAUACAAAGUUAGCACAUCUUAUAUUUAGAAAAAGGGAAUAGUACAAUAGAUUGAACAGACUGAAAAACACCAAUGACAGUGCAUAUACUUGACAAAACUUAAAGUUACACCAAAGACCUUCCUAAUAGACAUCUGUAACCCCACCAUCUGCAUAUUUCAUAUUCCUUCGAAUCCCUGGUGAUGAAAAGCACCUGCAAAACCCACGUAGACUAGACUAACCUCGUAAUUUAAAGAACUGCAUGAACCGUCCAUCAUAAUAGAUGAGAACUUGAGAUAGUUGAACGUCUAGUGGUCGGAGACACUGCCCUCACAAGACUGGAUGUCAAAUCUGCUUCAUCACCGAAUAAACAAGAAAGAUGAUCACAAGCACGAAAGUAUGAGGCAUGAGAUCCACUAGGUACAUGGAGUAGGUAGCAAUAAUCGUGCCACAACAUAGGUGAUUAAGGUACAUAAAACUUGUAAUUUACCAAAAUGCAAAAUCGUGACCCAUGGUUCUCCCACCUUCUCGUGUCGAACCGAUUAUCGGAGACUAUGAAUGCAACUGAAAUUGAACUGUUCUAUUUUCUAUACUAUAGAAACCACACCUGGAAGCACUGGUUCCACUUGGACCAAAUGAUUCCUACUUUUUGAAGAAUAAGAUGGGUAGACAUGUUGGGUGAUAUUCAUUUUUUGAGAAACCAUAUGGUUUCAUUCUAGUUUCUAUAUUCUAGAAACCAAGUACAUGAAUUAUCUCAUGUUUAAAACCAUUUCAUCACAUUCUACUAUGAACCGGUGGACCGAACGGCUAAUGUGCCUGCUUUCGGUAUCUCAAGCGGGUCAGCCCCGUCCUGCAAUUUGAAUAAUUGGGCCAAGAAUGCGUACACCCAAGACAACAUUGGCGUGUUUUUAUGCCGGCCCACAAAAUGUGCGUGAAAGCUAUCAAAAUAAGCCCAGGAGUCGGAGACUCCCCUAGUCCCCUGCGCAGUGGGCACUCACAGUUACCUUAUCGUCGCCGCUGGACGAACACCGAUGGCCGCGCCCCCGCCUGCAGCAGCAGCACCGCCUCCCGCCAUGUCCGCCCUCCCCACCUUCGCCUCCUCCCACCCUUAUCCGUCUCUCCCCACGACCAAACCCCUCACCCCCAACUCGCGGCUCAACUUCGCCCAUGCCGGCGUCGCCGCAUCUCCCAAUGCCGUCCCCCACCGCGCCGUCUCCAACGACCGCCUGCGAGGCCUCGUCCGCAGGGGAGACCUCGAAGAGGCUCUCCGCCUCGUCGAGUCCAUGUCCGGCCUCGAACCCUCCGCCGCCCCGGGGCCUUGCGCGGCGCUCAUCAAGAAACUCUGCGCGUCCGGGCGCACGGCCGAGGCCCGGCGCGUGCUGGCCGCCUGCGAGCCCGACGUCAUGGCCUACAACGCGAUGGUAGCUGGGUACUGCGUCACGGGGCAGCUCGACGCCGCUCGCCGGCUCGUGGCGGACAUGCCCAUGGAGCCCGACUCGUACACCUAUAACACGCUCAUCCGCGGCCUGUGUGGACGCGGCAGGACCGGGAACGCCCUUGUGGUGCUCGACGAUAUGCUCCGCCGAGGGUGUGUGCCCGACGUCGUCACCUACACCAUCCUGCUCGAGGCCACGUGCAAGAGGAGCGGGUACAAGCAGGCCAUGAAGCUUCUGGACGAGAUGCGUGCCAAGGGAUGCGCCCCAGACAUUAUCACCUACAACGUCGUUGUUAAUGGCAUCUGCCAAGAAGGACGGGUUGACGAUGCCAUCGAGUUCUUGAAGAGCCUGCCGUCGCAUGGAUGCGAGCCAAACACUGUUAGCUACAACAUUGUGCUGAAGGGCUUGUGUACUGCAGAGCGGUGGGAGGACGCCGAGAAGCUCAUGGCUGAGAUGAGCCAGAAGGGUUAUCCCCCAAAUGUGGUAACAUUCAACAUGCUCAUCAGUUUCUUGUGCCGUAGAGGAUUGGUUGAGCCUGCGAUGGAAGUUCUUGAUCAGAUCCCAAAGUAUGGGUGCACACCUAAUUCUUUGAGUUACAACCCAAUACUUCAUGCAUUCUGCAAGCAAAAGAAAAUGGAUAGGGCCAUGGCGUUUGUGGAAUUGAUGGUCUCCAGGGGCUGUUACCCUGACAUCGUUUCAUACAACACUCUUCUUACUGCGCUCUGUCGUGGUGGGGAGGUUGACGCAGCUGUUGAAUUGCUUCAUCAACUCAAGGACAAAGGCUGCACUCCUGUUUUGAUUAGUUACAACACGGUCAUCGAUGGCCUUACUAAAGCUGGGAAGACAAAGGAAGCUUUAGAGCUGCUGAAUGAGAUGGUAACCAAAGGGCUCCAACCGGAUAUAAUCACUUAUUCAACAAUAUCUUCUGGUCUUUGUCGAGAAGAUAGAAUUGAAGAAGCAAUUAGAGCAUUUUGUAAAGUGCAAGAUAUGGGCAUAAGGCCCAACACAGUGCUUUACAAUGCAAUACUUCUUGGACUUUGCAAAAGACGCGAAACACACAAUGCUAUCGACCUGUUCAUUUACAUGAUAUCGAAUGGCUGCAUGCCUAAUGAAUCAACUUACACUAUAUUGAUUGAAGGCUUGACUUAUGAGGGCUUGGUUAAGGAGGCACGGGAAUUACUGGGUGAGUUGUGCUCUAGAGGAGUUGUGAGUAAGGGUUUGAUAAAUAAGGCGGCCAUUAGGUUGCUUGAUGGAACUACACAUACUUAAAAAGGUUGAUCAGCAGUACCAUGUGGAUCCAGGAAUAUGUUUUUGUGCAUCAUCAUCGGCAGGACGGGUACUUCACUACACUUAAUGACAUCUUAAUUCAUGCUGCUAUCUUAUUAGCAUGUGAGUACCUUUCCUCAAUUCUGAACGCACCUUCUCCAAAUUUGAACUUGCUCGGAACUUGUACAGAUUUAUUAUCACUUCUUUAGUAUACUCUAUAAUAUUAUGAUAUCUUAUUUCUUUAGAACUGUUCUGAUUGGAAAGAUUUAUGGUUUGUUACAUUGCACAGACUAAAGAAAGGAAUCCAUUGGCACUCUAAUCUGAUUCAAACCACUUGCUCUGCAUUCUGAACUCCAUUACUACCAAAAUAAACAAGCCAAAUCCAAUGUUUAUGCUGUUUGUUCCGAUAAUUUUAGAUACCUCAAAUUUCUACACUUUGCCUGAAUACUUUUUUUUAUGCAAAGUUUUUCUUUUCUUCAUUUAACCAUAUACAAAUGUUCUGUUUUGCCUGCAUUUUACUUUCCUGUUUACCAGUUUAGGGCCUCUUUGAUUCUCAGGAUUCUGGAAGCACAGAAAACUGUAAAAACAGAUGAACGUUAUAGGAAUGCAUGGUCGAAACAGAGGAUUUCAAAACACCGGAGUUGAUGUUGUCUGAUUCAUAGGAUUGUAAAAAAGAGAUAGUGAUGGUCUGGUGGAUGCGUUAGGAAAAAAAUUAGAUCAUACGGCUCUGCCAAAUACCAGAGCCUCCCACAAAAAAAUACAGCAACCCAAGCAGGGCCUAAGGAUUGAAAAUUCUUUGAGUCACAGAGGCUGAUGGGACUGUCUCCAACUGAGGAAUUUGAAUUCCUGCCAGGAACUGCGAAAGAAACUUGCCCCAGCCAUAUAUUUAGUUUUGGGAUAGGGAACCAGUCACCACCUUAUGCAGUUGAUGUUCCUAGUAUAAUGUGAAACACUAUACUCACUUUGUGUUUGGAUUUAUAAGCAGUCACCACCUUAUGCAGUUGAUGUUCCUAGUAUAAUGUGAAACACUAUACUCACUUUGUGUUUGGAUUUAUUGCAGCAGUCAAAUACUAAGUAGCAGGUUUUUUGUCAGACCGCCAUACAAAACCCCGCUCAACCAGUGAUUCUCCAGUUUGCAUAUGCCAUUCAGUAACCCUGAUUUGUUCACAUAUGCAAGGCACAAGCAUUAGAGUAACAUGCAUAGCACUGAUCAACCUGAAGUUGUGACCCGUGCGUAAUGCAUGCUAUCACAUUCCCUUGGAGGAUACGUUUCUGUAUGUAAUAGAUUUUAUUUGCAAAUAGAUUUUGUUUAGGCAUAACCAGGCAACGAGUUUAUUAGUCUGGAGUCUGCGCCUUCCCAACUCUCGAAUGAAAACGAAAAAAAAUGUGAUUCCCUGGGUAACUACUUAUUUGUCAUGGCCAAGAGAACAAGUAAUCUCAAAUGAAGGGUAAUGGCUUUGGUAAUUUAAAUUUUCUAGAAAAAAGUGCAAGUUUUUUGUAUUACGUCUGUCCUUGACAGUCGUACCGAAUACUUUAGUUUCAAUCCUGUAAACAUCCGACAGAAUUUCAGUUCAGCAAUACUUUGCUCAAAUUGUAUUUAUACUGAUGUUGAUCCAAUACAAAAUGUAUGCAGGGCUGAUGAUAUGCUGUAACUGAAAUUGGUAUAUGAGGAUGCAUAAUUGAUACCUGAUGCCUAGACUUCGGCAUAUGAUGAGAAGUUUCUCCCUUUUUCCCAACUUGAGCUCAGAGAUUAAUUGAAACUUUCCUAGUGUAGAUUACAAUCCUGAUAACCACUGGGAAGCACAUGUAACAAAAAACUUUUAGGAUUCGCAAAAACACAAAACGUUUAGGCAGUGGUCGUAUUUAUCUACAUAACAGGAUGGAAGCAGAGUACAUAAAGAGAGAACAUUUUUUGUGCGAGUGUCCGGGGCCGCUAGGGCGCAUCUGUGGUGCCGGUGUGCAGGCAGGUUUUGUCUACUCUGCUGAAACGACACAAGUCGAAUCCGAGGGUGGAGUAUGUGGUUCUUGUCUAGAUUUCUCAGUGACUAAAUUUGUAAGAGGAUCGAGGAACCUUCCCUGGAAGAACGCCAGACGUGUGACAGGCUGCAGCAGGGAAGAACGCCAGACGUGUGACAGGCUGCAGCAGGGAAGAACGCCAGACGUGUGACAGGCUGCAGCACGCAGAGAUGUCUCAACUCACAACGUUCUCAUCCUUCGAGGCAUGGAAAUUCAUACACCCUUGCUAGAAUGGUCUCCAACUGCAGAUUGAUGUAAUGUUUAAGUACCCAGAAAUGAAUAAUCAGUGGUUUUGGUUUUAGGUUCCACAUCCUUAUCCAUAGAAGCAUCCCCUUGUAUCUCUGUUUUUCUGUAUGCAAUGCGCAAGUACCGCAACUAUCAAGAGAAACAGUCAAUUAGUUCCUUCUAGUAACUCCUUGCACUAGGCAUAAUUCUCAUACCAUUUUUGAACAUCUUCUAUCCAGGAUGGAGUUCCCGUAAAUGAUUGUCAUACUGUUGUCAUGUUUUCUGUACAGUAAACUCUGACAACUUAAACAUUAAACUUUGGUGAAUCCCCUUAGAGAUAUUUUCUUCCACAAUAAAUUUUCAACUCAUGAACAGUUUAGCCUAUGGAGUUCCCAGAUAGUUACAACUAAGGAAAAAAAUACAGCAAAGAGUGCAACAUGCAAUCCUUGCCAAGUUAUUGAGGAAGAGGAGCUAAACUUAGCUAAGGACCUUAAGGUACACAGCACAUGACAAACAAUAGCGUAUAUUAAUCCAUUACACCAGUCAGCAAAAUGCCUCUCUAUACGAAAAACCUGCAGUACCAAUGGAUCGAUCAGCGUCUGUUUUACAGAAAGCACGAAGAGUUGUUGAUAUUUGGAUCAAGGACGCACGUCUCCUUCCUCUGGGGUUAGGCAAUGAUCAGGAACACGGGGAACCAUGCGAGUUCACGCUUCUUUUCUACAUCCCUAGCACGGAAAUAAAUCCUUCUCGCCGGAUUGCUCAGGGUCUCGGCGCCUCGAUGGCAGGCCCAGCGGGUUUCUGGUUGAGAAGGGGCUGGAUUGCCUUCACGACAAUCGUCAUGUUCGGCCGGAAGUCAGAUUCGUACUGGACGCACAGCGCCGCCACUGCUGCUAGCUGAAAACAUGAAGAGAGGACCUCGGUGUGGUCUCAUGUUUUUAUAGUGUAUUUGCGUUGUCGGAUAUGCUACAGUGACAUACCUUGGCAACGGCUUUUGGAGGGUAGUCGUUGUUAAGCUUCGGAUCAACACACUGUUUCACUUUAUCUUCGCUCAACCUUGGAGUGGCCUGCCUCACAAGACCAACAAAUAUUGCCAUAAAUUUAAGACCGUUGCUAAAAAAAGAGUAAUAUGGAGGGUAGUAAAUGAGAUUUCAGUGCGGAAAUAUGGAGUGUACAAUACCCAAGUAACAAGACUUUGCUGCCCUUUCGGCAUGGUGUGAUCGACAGGUUUCCUUCCGGUCAGUAGCUCUAGUAGGAUCACACCGAAGCUGUAGACAUCGCUCUUUUGGUUAAUUUGCCCUGUCAUAGCAUAUCUGAAUAUUACCAAAAUCCAAACAACAAAUGUCAGUAAGGUAAGUACUGCAAAAGCAAAACUGACUGCACAAACUUGACAAGUAAUAAGACCAUCUGGUCUUACUCUGGAGCGUGGUAUCCGAAGGUUCCUAGCACACGAGUCGAGUGCAACCGAGCAGCGCUGUCAGUGCCCUGGUUCGUCAGGUUGAAAUCCGCAAUCUUGGAGCUGAACUCGUCGAAUAUUAGGACAUUGCUCGAUCGAAUGUCUCGAUGAACAAUAGACGGCUGGACUUUCUCGUGAAGGUACUCUAGCCCCCUCGCCGCUCCGUAAGCUAUCUUCACGCGCUGAGCCCAGUUGAGGACCGGCCCGGGUUCAGCGCCCUGCACUCCUUUCUUGCCUGCACUUGGCGGAGUAGCAGAAUUGGUAAACUGGAGUUAACAAUCUGUCUGCACUAAUUUAGCAUUCAACUUGGCAAAGGAAAAUUAUAGAGGAGACGCACCGUGCAAGAUGUUAUGCAAAGAACCCAUGGUCGCAAACUGAUAGGCUAGCAUGCGGUUGCCAUCCUCCAUGCAGUAGCCCACGAGUUCCAGGAAGUACUCGUUCUUAAGCUUGGAGACCAUCGCUAGCUAUGGCAAUGAGACGAGGAAGUAAUUAACCAAAAUAGCGAAUUGGAGGAAUUAACAGAAGGCGAUUUGUUGGAUCUUCAGUGCACGCACCUGAGCGGAGAAUUCAGCGUCGGAUUCCUGCGAGGUGCUGGAGUCGAGCUUCUUGAUGACGGCGGCGCGGCCGUCGCUGAGGGUGCCGUUGUAGACGCGGCCGUAGGAUCCCUCGCCGAUGAGGGAGCGAUCGCUGAAGUUGUUGGUCAUCUUGUUGAGCUCGUCCAGCGGAAUGGCCGGCACGUCGAUGUUGACCACCUUGGGCGGCCCACCGGGCCUCUGGGCGCCCGGCCCUCUCGGCCCGCCUCUGUUCCCUGCAUCGAUCAUGCAUCCACAACGCCAUCAGACCAAGAUCGAGCUCCAUAUCCAUAUGGGCACAAAUGAGAAGAAAAAUGGCGGCGAUCAUCGGACCGGGGUUAUUGACAUUGGGCGGCGGAGCGGCUUGGUUGGCCGGCGGGCCGUAGGUGUCCUCCUCGGCGCUGCCGCAGCAAGACAUUCUUGUUCCCGCCCGAGUGGAUGGCGCGCGGGGGUGUUAAUUUGGGGGGGACGGUCAGCAGAUCAUGUCGCAAGACCUGGAUUUACAUUGCCAAACAAAAGCCAAGGAUCCAUGAACGCCUUCUCUCACAAGAGCAAAAUGGCGAUUAUUUUGGCUAUCAGCCAAGGGAUCGAUCUUUGCUGGAUCCCCCAAUUAAUCCCCCCGAAGAUAAGAAAAUGGAUCGAAAACAACACAACCCAACAAUCGAUGCAUGCAAAAAUUAAUCACCAAACUAAUAAAUUGUGUUUGCGCAGCAUGAUGGCAUCUCAAUGUAUAUCAAUUACCUCCCCAAAAGGAACGAAAUUGCCACUCGAUCGAGGACGGUCGUCGGUGGAUCAAGAACACGGAAGAACAGCGGCUGUUUUGUUUUCCAGGGAAGAGAUUAAUGGUGGGGAAGGGUGGGAGCUCCCUUUUUUCGCGCCAAAGGAGGCUCCCGUCCAGUUUUAACUGUCCACGCAGACUUGUCGAUUUACUUGUGCUCCCGCCUUGUCCUAUUGUUAGCAUGCGCGCAGGAGAGUAUGCAUGGCAUGUUGUGUCAGUUACAUCGAUCUUGGGUGAGGGGCGUCACUGCAAAAUGAUAUCGUUCCUGGUGUUCUGUUUUUUUACGAGUUUUUCGAAAGAUGGAGUCGUGAGGCAUAAAAAAUGGUUCAGGCUGGCUUUUGGCCAUCCGUAGUUCGCCUUAAAAAAACACUUGUAAGGAAGAAACAUUCUGGCAAAAACUACGGGGAAAUCUUAAAUUAUUUACUGCAGUACAUGGAUUUGACGGAAUAAGCAAUUCUUCUACUCCCAUCUCCAUAUAUAUAGUGAAUUGUUCAGCAAUCUCGCUACUGAAAACCAAGUACUAACUCUCUUACAUUACAACAACAAAAAUUACAAAGUUAUAACCAGGAAGUCGAGUAAUGUUUGGGAACCAGAUAAGCACUCAUUCCAGACUAAAGAAAGUAUUCUGAAUGAGCUUUGUCGACCAUAUGAAUGGCCAAAGGUUGCCAACUAGUGACAAAUGGUUGGAUUUCUUCAUCGCUCCCUUCAACAAUUUGACACGAGGUCAACCUUUUUGUUUGCAAAUAUUGUAAUGUACUCUCCACUUGCUUCAUAGUAGGCCUUUCUUCUCCCUGGAGGCGCAAACACAUCUCUGCAAGGGAGGCAACGGUAUUAAUUUCAUCCUCAUUUGAUUCUUCAAGAACUUGAGCAGCCACCACCUCUCUUGCUGGCCUUACUUUGAUCUCUGAAAUAAAGUAAUUGGACAAGUUUUGCUUUGAACCUGCGUCGCUUAUGAAAAGAGGCUCUUUUCUUGUAAGUAACUCUAAGAGUACGACACCAAAACUAUAAACAUCACUUUUCUCAUUUAAUUGCCCAGUUUGAUAAUAUUCUGGAUCCAAGUAUCCAAAUGUUCCUUCUACAUUUGUAGUCACAUGAGUUUGGUCAAUAGGAACUGUUCUUGAAGCACCGAAAUCUGAAACUUUAGCAGUGUAAUUUCCAUCUAGCAAUAUAUUAGAGGACUUCACAUCGCGAUGAAAGACUGAUAUCGAAGCAGAUGUAUGUAGAUAACAGAGAGCCCCGGCAGCUUCUAGAGCAAUCCUCAAACAGUUGUCCCAGGAUAAAGAGAGUCUACUAACUGACUCACCAUGCAGAACGUCAAAUAAAGAACCAUUAGGGAUAAAAUCAAACACUAAGAGGGGCACCUCUGUUUCAAGACAACAUCCAAAUAGCUUCACAAUAUUUCGAUGAUUAAUCUGGGAGAGGAUCACAACCUCAUUAAUAAACUGAUUGAUCUCAGCUUCCUCGACAAGUUUCGACUUCUUUAUAGCCACCACACGUUGGUCAGACAAGAUGCCUUUGUAUACCAUGCCGUGCCCUCCACGGCCUACAAUACGAGUUUCAUCAAAGUUGUUUGUUGCUUUCUCCAACUCUUGUAAGGAGAAAAUCGCUGUCUCGUCACUUGCAUUUUCAUCCGAUGCUAUGAGUUGUUCCAAUAGAAGGCCCUGGUUUUUCCGGAAAAACAUCUUACGUUGUUGUCUUUUGAUACCUCUUUUCCAUCUGUAGAAGAGGAAUGUCCCGCUCGAACCAACAAGUAGCGGUCCCAAGCCGGCACUCAGUCCAAGGAUAAUACCUAUGAUGAGAUUGUGCUGUUUGGUUGAGGUGCAGCGCAUUCUAUUUGGGUCAUAUUUUGUUUUCCGAGGACAACAGAUGAAGCUUCCAAUGGUAUUGUGGCAGGUCCCGUCACAAUUUUGCUUAUCAAGACACUCGUCAACAUCUGCAGGUGAAGCAUAUCUUGGUAAGGGGCGAAAGAAAAAAUGUUCAAAAAAUUAUAUCCCCAGGGUAUGAAUAAUGUUUUUGACAAGGUUAGUAGAAUAUGGGUUCGAACCCACGGCCUAAAUCCCUAACCCUAUCCUCAGAAAUUCCCAAAUCUCCCCCCGCUCUCCUGAAGCAAGCGCUGCCCGUGCCGUUGGUGAAGGUGGCGACGCCGUUCCAGUAGUCGCCGCGGAAGCCAUCGACGUCGUUCGUGUGGAUGUCGAUGAAGCUGUCGUUCAAGUCGUCAUCGUCUACGCGGUUCCAUCUGCGAGGUGUGGGUGUUCCUGGCUGUGCCAUCGGAGAUCAUCAACGAUCGCCUCUGGCCCUUCUGUUCCGUCGCUUCGUCUCCCUCGGGCGAGGCGGUGUAACAGAGGAGGGCAAUGGCCCAACGGUCUAGCACACAAUGAGGGAGGAGGUUUUCUGAAUAAAUCAAACAUGCCGCCUCUUCGUAGCGCUGCCUGGACCGCGGGUUAUAUGCCAAAAAAUAACGGGGGGGGGGGGGGGGGGGUCAAUGAAAGAAAACAACAGCUGCAAAUUUGCAAAGAAGAACCCCCCCCCCCCCCGGCCACGUCAGAUGCCAGAGUGGCCUAAUUUAGCCCGAAUUCGUCAAUUUGGACUAAAAGUGAACCCACAUGCCAAGUUUAAGGGGCCGUUUUUCAAAUCCGCGAGUUUAUGGAUGAAAGUGAACAUCGCUGCCAAGUUUAUGGAUCGUGCAUGCAAUUUCCUUUUAUAAUUUUGAAGCUUGCUGAAAAUGUCUUGUUAACAGAUUUUGGUUGUUGCUUGAGGAGUUUAUGAUGCCAAUUCCGAGUGUUUGUCUCGUGGAAAUCCAUUACGGUCAAUGCCCUAAUAAGGGCUCGUUUUUCCGGUGAGGCACGAAACAGAGCUCAGCCCAAGCUUUUCUCGAGCUCGGUCAAAGCUCAGGUAGCUCGAUGAGCCCAGCAACAGCAGGCCACUGCCUUGUGAGCCAAGCUUCCCUGGAAGUAGGCGGCAGACCGAAGCAAGUUUUUUUAGAUGAUUGUCCCUGAUCCCAACUUUCAUUGAAACCAUGGUAGUCAAGUCAAACACUUGACCAAAACAAGUUUUGUCGCCACUGGAGGGAGCCGCCGGCAAGCCUGGCGCGGCGCCGAUGAAGGUGGCGGCGAGCACGCGUUUUUUGUGGUUGUUCUUCGGCGCCAUCACCGCCCCUGCCAGGUCCUUCAGAUCCGGCGAUGGUUGGGCCGGAUCCGUGCGGCGCUGUUCCAUGGUGUGGUCUGCCUCUGGUUGACGAAGCUGGGUUGUCCUCCUUCCGCGCACCUCCCCAAGCUCCUCCCCAUGCACCUCAAACCACUCCCGGCCAGUCAGUGGAGUCCCCACGGCCAGAUCCGAUGGUCUCGUCCCCGAAUCCAGCCUCUGCAAGGUCAAUAUCGGGAAGAGCUCCUCCACCCUCCUCUACCUCCUCCAGUCGUCCAUCCUCCUUGCCUCUCCUCGCUGUUGCCGACGGCGGUCGUCCGUGUCAUACCCUCUCCAAGUGCUAUAGCGGAUUAGAUACGUGUAGCAGGUUAGGUGUUGCUAUGGGCCACUGCGUGGGCUUUUUGUGUUGGGCCAAGGGCUGUGUAAUGUUGGAGUUGAGACCGAGUAUAAAAUCGGCUCUGUUGCCAGUUCGAAACCCAUCGAAGAAAUGAAAUAGAAUAUUCCCUAGCCUCUCUCUUCUUCCUCCUCACGCCACCUUUCCCCAUCUCUUGCGAGCGAUUCUUGGAUUACCACCGGCGGCGAUCCCUCACCGGUCGUGGGACAUCACGGUCCGGCAUGGCCCUGCGUGUCGUCUCCCUGUGCUUUGUUGCAUUGGGACCAUAUCCAUGGCCGCGGGGAGCCCUUGCGCGUCCUGCUGCUGCCGGCUCCCUUCUCCUUCAUCAUCAGUCGUCCUCCUCCGACUCUGCCUCUGUGCCCACCCCCAGUUCCUUGCCAUCUCCCAUUCCAUCCCCUCAACGCUCUGUCCUCUCCACCCUCCCCCUAAGAUCCAAUGAAAUUCAUUCUGGUGCUACACUGAUUUGGGAGAUGCUCUGCGCUCUCCUAUUGAGAAUCCAAUGAAAUUCAAACCGGAGAUGGUCGUGAUAGAGUGUCUGUGCUAGCUACGUUUUUCGGAUUUGACAAUUCGACCUUCCACCUUCGCCCCCAUCCAUAUGGUUGCUCUUCUGCAAUCUCCACCUUGCCGCUUUCAGGUAGCCGUUGCCUCCAUCAACUAGGUGUUGUAUGGCAUCCUUCAUCUACACUCAACGAGGCCUAAACCAUCCCUUUGUUGAGAUAAUAUCUCUAGUGAUACCCUUCGAUAUCAUGCCACUUUGUACCUUCUUCUCCCCAUCUUCCUUGGGAUGUGGCUCCCUUUUGGUGGAGUUUUUGUGUAUCUACUCAUGCAUGAUUGACGAGCUUGAAUCUUCCUUACGUUCUUCAGAUGCUCCCCCAAUUCCCCAGGGACAAUGCCAUCCUUCUGGUGGUGAGCACUUGGAAGCGUGAAUGUGGUGAGAGUGCAGCUCUUGUUGAUGCUUGGUGGUGGCUUUCCUUGGCUGCCGGUAUUGGUGUCACUUUUCUAUUGAGCUUCAUAUGCAAGCCCUGUAAUUUUUUACCUUUUCUUUUUGUUCUUCAAUGUGCUUGCUUUGGCAAGUUGUAAUGCUCAUCGGCCAAGAAUAAUAAGAUGACGUAAGCAGGCUCUAAGGAUUUAAAUAUUAUAUCUUUGCUUAGUUGGAGGAAAGAGAAAAGGAGAGAGAAGAGAGGUGGGCUACUAUCUAAUAGCCAGCUGCAGCACGUGCUCCUAGACACUUUAUGAGACUACAAUAUAGGCCUCCUUAUAACAAAGUAGUACAUUCUUGUAGCCACCUUAUUAUAUAUGCUAGCUAUAUGUUAGUUAAAGAUGACAUAACAAAAGUUUAUAGCCAGCAGCAAGCUAAACUAUUAAUCUUGCUCUUAAAAGGGAAGACCCCCACCCCCCCACACCCCCCCCCCCCCCGACGACCAAUCGGUAGGAAGUGUGCGUGAGUUCAGUAGGUCUAAGGGAUUGGAAAGGGCGAUCGUCAAAAGAGAAUUUGUUGAAAAUUUAGUAGGAAGAAAAAAAAUCCAUGUUUUGGUAUAUUGGAGAUUUCACAGAAAAAUACCUCCCUCUGCCCUUCCCAUCUCCAAAUGGCACGUUUUGCAAUCUUUAUAUAGGUCAAAACAAGUCGGCGUAUGUACACGUUCACAAAAUAUAUACCCCAGGCUGUCGAGAUCGAGUGACCGUGCUGAAACACUUUCAAAAGCUAUACUAUUGACCAUAAAUUUUAAAAGUCAAGGUGACUAAAGCGAACGUUGCUAUCAAGAACAGUGACCUCUUGUAUAUUUUACUCGUCUACAAAAUUCUCUUUCAAUUCCUAACUUCAGAGCUCGGCUAAUUGCUGGAUGCCAAGGUGUUACGUUUUGUGAGAUAGCUCACCACGCUUAAUUACCACUUGGUGAUGGCAUGUGGAGAUGGAAGUAGCAGAUGUUUUGUUACCUCCGCAUCCGUAUUGAAGGUAAGGAUUCCCUUGGUAUCCUUUGUCGCAUUUGCAGAUGUAGCCUCGUCCAAUGGGCGAGUCUUGGCAGACACUGUUGUUGCUAACGCAAGCAUACGACUCCGGCUUGGCGCGGACCACUGACUCACACGUCUCCCCGUCCAGGGUUCCAAUCGCCCAAUCCACCACCAGCGGCGCCUGCCUACCAUAGGCGUCGACGAACGCCGACGAAGUAAGGUAGGCCGUGGAGAAGGUGAAGUUGGACGCCUCAACCAGCGCCGCGUAGCUACAGCGGCGGCUGCUGCUGGUUGUGUUGUCCAUGUCCGCUGUAGUGGCCGCCGUGCCGAAGUUCUUGUCGAACCACACCCGGUAGUUCUCCAGCCCCCUGGGGAUCGCCGUCCGGCAGCAGCCUAUCCCCUCGCAGGAGCCGUUGGUCAGCACCCUAAGGUCGCCUCCCUUGCAGGUGGCCCCGCAAACGGCCGUGUAGGAGUUGGUGUCGUCCUGGUCGCCGAUGUACGCCAGGGUCUUGCAGCCGAGGACGGUGAACUUGUUGGCGGUGUCGGAGAGCCUGAAGAUGGCGCCCUGCAAGUCCAUGUUCGAGGGCGGGCUGUUGACCUCCAUACGGCCAGUGGUGGCGUUGUGGCAGUUUGAGGAGAUGUUGUUCAGCCACCGGACCUGGCCAUUCUGCAGAGAGAUGUCGAGCACCUCCUGGUUGAUGUAAUGCAGCCUCUUGCCACGGCCGCUCCCCCUGUCCAGGCAGGCCCGCUUGAAGCCUUGCCGGGCGUCAGCAAUUUGGCAGCCUAGCUCCAGGUCGAUGCCAAACGGGUAAGGGAUCUCCACUCAGCCGCAUUCCCUCGUGCAGUUUGCUGCAGGGUGGCGCCAACGCUCAAACGUCGGUCAGCUGGAACGCCGCCGUCACCGCUAUGGCUACUGCAGCUGCUAACAUGUCGAAAGCCGGCCACCAUGCAUGAUCUAGCGAUCGGUUUUCUUGCUAGUUGUAGCCUGCAGGUAGUCUGAAUAAUGUCGCCAUGGUAUACAGAUUCGUUUGAGACCGUGGCUUCCCGACCAGGAGAGUGGUUGAGAACAUAUUUGGACUGGUUCGUCUCGGUAUUCUUCCCAGCUGUAUCGUGUUUCCUGCCAAGAAAAGGCAGAAAGGAGAAUUAGUCCAUGCAAAACAAUGCUACAGAAAACAUGGUGCGACAUAUUCAACGGGGGAGACUGACAUGCAUCAGGUGUAUGCGCAUACGCAGGGAUGUUUAGCCACUCCAAUCAUCCCGGCUCCGUGAUUUCCAGAAAAAUGGGCUAAGCCCCACGACUGGAGAACCAAUGGGCCAGGCCCAUUUGGGGGCAGGGGUCCAGCCCGCAUACACGCAGAGCGAUUUCCUCAAAAUAAAAAUAAUAGAAUGUACGGGUACCAACUAGCAAGAAAUUAGUAAAUUUAGGAUAUACGCGUAGGCCGGUGGGCGUAGCUUUUCCUAUACGCGACGUAACUGGCCAACUCUCGUAUAAUAUACGUAUUUCUAUCGUAUCCGUACCGGCGUACCCACACAACCGAUCUCUCCUCUCCGGCUCUCCGCCUCUCCCCCAUCUCGCGAAAGCAAACCCUAAAAUUCCUCUCGCGACCCAAUCUCCUGGUCAUGGCGGCCUCCGUCCUGCGCGAGGACAGCAACGGGAGCCCCAGGACGCUCCGUCUCUUGGCCUCGCUCGUGGAGGCCGAGUCCCGCCGCUUCGCCACCGCCGCCUCCGAACCCGCCGAGAACGACCCCGUCCGGGCGUUCCGCGGCGGCGCGACCCCGAGCGUUCCGAUCGGGGAAUUCCUGGAGCGCCUCCAGCGCUGCUUCCGGUUGUUCGACGGCAGCGUCUACGUCUACGCGGGGGCGUACCUCACCCGCUUCAUGCGCAGCCCGCCCGCCUGCGACGCGGGGAUCGUCCUCGAGCCGACCACGGCGCACCGCCUCGUCUCCGUCGCGGUCCUCCUGGGCGCCAAGUUCAUCAGCCCUAGGCACUACGAGAGGCGGGUGGAGACGUUCGAGAUCUGCUCGGACCGGUCGAUCCGAGCGAGCGAGAUGUGCCCGCUCGAGAAGCUCGUCCUGCGCGCCGUCGACUACCGCCUCUUCAUCAGCGUCGAUGAAUUUCAGUGGUUCUUUAGGAUCUUGGAACGAGGGCCGCCUGCUCCGGAGAGCUGCGGAUCCAGGAAGAGGAAGGCGGAGGCGGCGGCCGGCGGAGAGGAGGAGUCCCGCAGCGUCCGGGCUUGCCGGCCGCCCGUCGUGGGGUCCUAGGGUUUCGAGUUAAGUUCUUUAAUUCCCCGUUAAUUGCAUCUUUUGUUCGAUUUCUUUCUCGCGUCGAUCGUUCCCUCUUAUUUCUUGCAUCGCAUCCCGUCAAUUAGUUUCUCGCAUUUCGUUUCUUGCAUCAUAUCUUUGCCCUUGCAUCGUCCAGUAGAUUUCGCUUCGGAUUUGAGCAUUCAAAAGAUUACGUUCUUGCGUUUCAUCUUAUCACGUAGAUGGCGAUUGGUUUCGUUUUGAAUUGCAGCAACCAGUAGAUUUGGUUCUUGCAUUUAAUCAUUCCGUAGAUUGUGUUCCUGCACUGCAUCGUUCCGUAGAAUUCGUUCUUGCGCUAUUAAUUGCCACUGCAUCCCCCGUAACCCGUUAAGACUUCGUUCCUGCUUUGCAUCAUCUGUUUUUCUUGGUAAUUCGUUUCCUUUCUCUACUCUUCUGUUGUUUUUGCUUUUUGAUCGCAGGUAGUAGAGGAAGGGAACCGCAGCGCUUUAGAUUUUAGGGGCCAACGCUCGAGUUCGAAGAUGAAUGAUCAAUGACGUCCCUCUCAGAUUCAGCUGUUCUUUGUGAUGUCAUUCUGAAGAGCAUUUUGAGAUACGUGGCUUCAGAUCACAGUCCAAUGGCAUCGGAGCAACAGAUGCUGGUAGAGUGGAGUCUAGUCCUAGUGUUCUCUUCUACUAGUAGGUCUUAGGUCAGUCGAUUGUAAUUCUUUUGUUUCUGACCGUAGAGUCUUAGUCUUACUCGUAGUCUUAGGUCUUAGGAAUUCUCAUGUAUGGUUUCAGUAUCAAUAAAGAGUAGUAUUUAGGAAGUAUGGUCUUUUGUAUCUUGGAAGUUCUAACGCUCAAUCCAUGAUAGCGCGCUUCCUCCUGCU
rnacentral:lncRNA from 1 species